rnacentral:lncRNA from 1 species
GUGGAAGGUAGUAAAUGGUCUAAAUACUCCAAUAAAAACCAGACUGUCAGACUAGAUAUCCAGCAAGACCCACCUCUAUGUUAAAUACUAGAAAGUCACUUGAAAUAUGCAGAUAGGUUAAAAGUGAAAGGAUAGAAUGCUUUCAGGAAGUGAAGGGUCUUCUUGUUGGAUACUUGGUGGUCACCAGCAGGCACUGGUGUAACUAAGCACAGCGGGAAGAUGGCAGAUACUGUGGAUUCGGACUCUCACUGCAUAGAAUCCGAAUUCAGUGGGCUGUCAACACGGCUUCCCAAAUCCCAACACAGAUUAGUAUCUCAUAUGUGUUCCUGCUACAUAUUACACCUGGCUUCAUGUCCAAGCUCUAAUGAAGCUUCUACCCUUGCCCGUCUACAUCCCAUUCUCCACAGAGCAUCCAAAGUAGUGUAAUCGAACAUGUCACUCUUCUGCUCAGAACCCUUCAGUAGCUCCUCCCCAUUUCAUGCCGGACAAACACCAGAGUCCUUCUGUGGGUCUCCAUGGCCCCGAGGGUUCCCUGUCCCUCACCUCUCACCACUCUCCACUUCUCCCCCAACAUGCCAGGGACACUCCUGACUUGGGGCCCUGGUAACUGUCCUCUGGCUCUGGAAUGUCCAUCCCUCCUCCAUGUCUGUUCAGCAUCGCCCUCCCCAGGAGGCUGCCCUCUUGCUGCACCAGCCCUGCCCAUCCCCAGCAGGCUCUCCUGGUCUCGUCCUGUCAUCUCGUCCUUUUUCCCUUUGCACUCACCACCUGCCA